ACCAGAAACUCCAAUGGAGAUCGGUUUGCCCUGCGCCUGAACGAUGAUUUCAGCAACCGUGUCAGAGACGCCGGUAAAAUUUAGAAAGUCGCGGUUAGUGUCGUUGUCUGCCCACAUCCGUGCUGUCGAUAUGAAUUAAAGCCGCAUGAAUCCGCACCGGCGAACGGAGUUUCCGAGUUUUAUAUUUGACGCCCCAAUUGAGUUCGAGACUAAAGCACGGCUGGGUUGUGAUGCAAAUCCUGAGCACGGAAGGCCGACCUAAGU
rnacentral:misc_RNA from 1 species